UCCGGAGGGGGCUAUCGUUGUUCGGAAUUACUGGGCGUAAAGCGCACGUAGGCGGAUUAGUAAGUCAGGGGUGAAAUCCCGGGGCUCAACCUCGGAACUGCCUUUGAUACUGCUGAUCUCGAGUCCGGAAGAGGUGAGUGGAAUUCCUAGUGUAGAGGUGAAAUUCGUAGAUAUUAGGAAGAACACCAGUGGCGAAGGCGGCUCACUGGUCCGGUACUGACGCUGAGGUGCGAAAGCGUGGGGAGAAAACAGG
rnacentral:rRNA from 1 species